rnacentral:rRNA from 1 species
GACGAACGCUGGCGGCGUGCUUAACACAUGCAAGUCGAACGGAAAGGCCCUGCUUUUGUGGGGUGCUCGAGUGGCGAACGGGUGAGUAACACGUGAGUAACCUGCCCUUGACUUUGGGAUAACUUCAGGAAACUGGGGCUAAUACCGGAUAGGAGCUCCUGCUGCAUGGUGGGGGUUGGAAAGUUUCGGCGGUUGUGGAUGGACUCGCGGCUUAUCAGCUUGUUUGUGGGGUAGUGGCUUACCAAGGCUUUGACGGGUAGCCGGCCUGAGAGGGUUACCGGCCACAUUGGGACUGAGAUACGGCCCAGACUCCUACGGGAGGCAGCAGUGGGGAAUAUUGCACAAUGGGCGGAAGCCUGAUGCAGCAACGCCGCGUGCGGGAUGGCGGCCUUCGGGUUGUAAACCGCUUUCGCCUGUGACGAAGCGUGAGUGACGGUAAUGGGUAAAGAAGCACCGGCUAACUACGUG